UACGUAGGCAGCGAGCGUUGUUCGGAGUUACUGGGCGUAAAGGGUGUGUAGGCGGUCUUUUAAGUUUGGUGUGAAAUCUCCCGGCUCAACCGGGAGGGUGCGCCGAAUACUGAGAGACUUGGAGUGCGGGAGAGGAAAGUGGAAUUCCUGGUGUAGCGGUGAAAUGCGUAGAUAUCAGGAGGAACACCGGUGGUGUAGACGGCAUCCUGGACCGGCAUUGACGCUGAGGCGCGAAAGCCAGGGGAGCAAACGGG
rnacentral:rRNA from 1 species